rnacentral:ncRNA from 19 species
GCAUUGACGGUUCUCCGAGCUUCUUAUCCUAAGUCUUUAGAUACGGGUCAUUAGCCGUGGUAAUAAUGCCACCGGGGUGAGUAAAGAAAUGCACUCACCUCCCGCACUUGGAAAGGUUAACAUGUCUCAACUAC